UGCUGAUAGAAUUAAGUUAUUUAACAAAGCAAUAAGACUGAGCACGUUUUUUAGAGACGAAUCUGCGAGUUAUUUCUCCUGCAAAAUAUAUUUCAGCUCAGUUUUACCUUUCACUAUCUUUACUCCCACUCUUCUCUCAAGGAGUUCAAGCUGGCAGAGCUGGUGGCUUAAAUUUAUCCUGAUGACAGCCCUAUAUGCAGGUAAGACAUUUUAAAAGAGUGGUGUACCCAGGGCCACACACGAUGGAGAAGGAAUUUGAACAUGCAUCUCUCUAUUGUUGGUGGGUAGCUUGUAAGUUGCUUUGGGCAAGGUAAAGAGACUAACAAAUUUAAUUCAUUAAUAAUAAUAUCAAUUCACAUGAUGUUUGUAAAUUAAUUUACCCACAUACACACCACAGAAAUGAACACGUGUUGCUUGUUGAUUUAGAGGCCAUAUAGUAGUCCUUCUUUUGCCACCCCUGCUUCUUGCCAUAAGCUCAAAGGUGCAGAGCUCUCUGCUUGCUUUCUAAAGCCAGCUAACUAGGAGUUGGCAACAUAGCUGAAGACAGGCGUGGGAAUUGAAAGCAGCAUUCCACUUCCUUCCCUGGGGCAAUUGGUCCUUAACAAGGGAGGAGACCUAGGUUUAACUACUUGUUUUCACACUUGCAGUGCAGGAUCGGUAAAAAACAACAACCAACCAACCACUAAUUGUUGAGGUAGUAUGUUUUUAUGUUUAUCUCUUUAUACUACUUACUUUUUUGUUGUCUGUGGUUUCUUUUUGUCUGCUGCUUAGAUUUUUAAACCAGCAGUUUUAAAUAAAUUUAAAAGUACCGAUUAUAGCAGCCACCACCAACUUUAUUGUAUAAACUUUGUUCUGUAGGUGCUCCGUUGAUGGAUAGUGCUGUCUAAAAAAGCCUGUCAAGACAUUUGAUAUUACUUUAGCAGAGAUACUUCACAUAACUUUAAUAUAUACCCUUCUAUGAACACACUUCGUUAGCAAAUGCAGAUCUCUACAUGCCCGUUUUCCAUUAAUUCCGUGUCUCUUGGUUUAGAAUGAUGAUCUCUGAUACAGGUUUAGAAACAGAAAUCCAACCAAUUGGGGAAAAGUCAUAGCACAAGAAUACUGCAAUACUAAAUUCUGUCAACCAUAGCAACUUACUGCUACAGAGCCUUUCUACCACAAAACAUUCAGCAUUUUAAGUCUUUGUAAGUGCAAAUCUAGCUGGAAUUCCACAAGGGUGCUUGUAUAGUCAUUACACUAUUAGUAGCUUUUAAACAAGAUUUAUUUAUUUAUUAUGUCUUUUUAAUAGCAAAAAGAUAAAUGGGUUCUCCAUAUUAUAAUUCAGAAAGAUGUAAUAUAAAAACAGUAAACUAAACUGCCAGGUAUGUUCCUCUUUGGCACCCAUCAGAUUGUGGCAAUAUUAAUUACAAGCUAUUUUGUCUGCAAUGAUGUAUUUUAUAUCCAAUUUUGUAAGACCUACUGAUCAAUUGUAUUCUAAAAAUUGAAAAGUACUUAAGCUGGUGCUUUUAGAAUCAGUGGUGUGGAGACCUCACCUCCUGCCCAAAUGAUGGCUAGAUUUGCAUGCUAGUUGUAACACAUUAUAAUGGAUAUUUUCCCCCGGCUUAGAAUUUUCCUUAGCAUGGCAUUACAUCAUGCUCAUUCCAGAAUAUCACUUCGUGUUAGCUUAAGCCAAGAUUUUUUAAAUGGGUACUAUAAAUCAUUUGUGGAAAUUGCAGAGGUGAGGGAGGGAAAGAUGGUCUACAAUUAAAAUACUUGUGCUGUUAGAAUUCCAAAAUUGUGCUAACAAGUACCCACAUGUGAUGCCAUCGCUUGCCUAAUACCUGCUUGGUGUGUCAGCAUUUCACAAAUGAAAAUGUGAAACCAUGCGUUAUUAAAAGGGAACCACUUUUGACUCGCUUCACGUGCAGUAAUCACAGGAGAAGAACUUUUUGUUAAUAGGGAUAGGCAGAACAAAAGGGGUUGGGGAAGAGGGGUGAGAAGUUUGAAUUAAUGUGUUAUUGAAUUGAAUAUGCUUCCUUUGGUAGAAAGGCCAAAUUAAUUUAUUUUCUGACAGAAUUUACACAAUUAAUGUAAAUGUAGUAGUUGCCGAGACUAAGGAUUCAGCACAAAUGACAUGUAAUUAGAAAUGCAGCUUGAGGUACAGAAAUGUUUUUGGGAAAGUUUUUUAAACUUCAGUUUGUGAAUCUUGUGCCAAUUAAAUGCUU